AUAAAUAGAAAGUGAAAGUAGGCUAAAUGUUCAGGUGUUUCGCCAUAUAUGAAUCGAGGAAAUGAUUACGGUGGAGUAUUCAUGUGUUUAAUGGGACCUUUAUAAUUAAUUUACCUGUAGCUACAUGACAAGAAAGUUGGAGGAUUUGUGUGGAACUGUAUGUAAUUAAAUAUUGGUCAAGGUGAGUGCAGGUUUAGUUACGUUUUACAGGUGACUUCCGCAUUUAUAUAUUUUCCCUGAAAGACGUAUUCGGGACGUGUUUCGCGUUGUCUGUGGUGUAUUUUAGCAUUUGUGCAAACAUAGAUCUGACAUUUGAAUUUGAGUGAACGCGCGUCUCAUGAUUCUGUUUCUCCGACUCUCAGGAUCGGCUUAAGAUCAGUUUAACGUUAACGACGCCCGCAUCUCUAAAGUGAAAGAGUUGAUGUUUCGCCAUUUAAACAAUUAGAAUCGUUUCUUUACAGUACGUAUUAUCAGAGUAUUUAAUUAGAUUCAUUAAUUUACCUGCUAGGCCUACUUAUAGAAGUGGCAGAGCACGCUGUCUAUAUGUAAUUAAAAAUCUGUGAGCAGGCAACUCAGGACUCGAGACACUUUACAGCUGACUUCUAUAAACGACAAAAAUAGGAUCUCAGGAACAUGAGACGUGACACUUCUGUUUCUCCGUUCAUCUGUAUUUUUGUGUUUGUGUCAUUUUAAUCCAGAGUCUGUGACGAAGGUAAGGUCCUUUUUCAUCAUGGAUGACAUACAAACAUCCAGAAAUGAAGAUUUUUCUCCAGGAUGCAGGUACUUUGAAUAAACAUUAUUUAAUCGCCUUUAAAUUAAUGAAGAUGGCAAGAAGAUUAAUGAUAAGAGUUUUAAGGCCUUACAAUAAAAUAAUUGUUUUUGUUUUUUUAAAGCAUUACGUUUUCUGUUAUAGUUUAGUCCAUCAGAAGAGAUCAGAACCAGAGCCCAGCUGUGUGUCUGUGAGGAGUGACAGGUCUAUGGAUUAUCCAGUACAUUUUGAGAGUGGAGAUGCACAGACUGAUCCGGGUUUAGUCCAUCAGAAGAGAUCAGAACCAGAGCCCAGCUAUGUGUCUGUGAGGAGUGACAGGUCUAUGGAUUAUCCAGUACAUUUUGAGAGUGGAGAUGCACAGACUGACCCGGGGUAUAAUAUUUCUGUAAAAGAUAUAAUAUGAUUAUGAUUAUGAGAGAUACCAUACAAAUUUGAUUAUAGUAUGGCAUUCUAUAUUAUCAGAGUAUUAGCAAUACUCUUUUCUACAAGAUAUGAUUGUUUUGUAAAAAAAUUUUAAUAGUUUUUUGUCUUUAUCUGAUGUUAACAUACUGUAUAUUAUGUUUGUCAUGCAGGCACAUCUGUGAAACCACUGAAUUUAAUUUAUAUUUUUUGUUAUAGUUUAAAUAAACAUACAGUGCUCCUUAAAGUGUUUUAUAAG
ensembl:lncRNA